UAGAAACCCUACUCAUAAGGGCAGGAACCUAGUGGUAGCUGUUGCUAUGUCAGUCUAUAUACUGUGUGUGGUGUUAUAAUCCACAUUCUCAUGCAGCACUAUAAUUUUUUCUUGGUACCCUUAGAGCAUACCCUAAGCACAAGCCGAGGGCGGUUUGG